rnacentral:rRNA from 1 species
AUGAAUACCGUCAGGACCAAUUUUCUGAUUAGAAGUCAAGGCGAUAACCGGAACUGCAGAGCACAUGCAGUCUUGGCCGGCAUGGAUGCUGCACUUAAAAUCGAAGGGGCUCUCCGCGGCGUGCCUGUGUUACAGCCACUCAAUGGUACAAGCCUAUUAAGAGACUACCACCGCUUCUAUCCGGAUGGUGUUGGGCAUGAACGAGAGCGGGAAUGGAGAGGAUAUCGCAGAUACGAACAGUUGCUGAGGGUUGCCCAGGCGUUCGGAGUUCAGUAUGUGUCUCCUAUGAGAACAAUCACAAGGGCGCUGAGACUGCAAUCCUGGUUUCGACUGACAACUAGGCAGACUAGUAUGGACUAUCUAGUGCGCCUGAUCGCUAAUGGCUAUCCGUUAUUAGCCACCAUGGAGAUUGGUCGCUGGUUCAGAAUGUUGGCGCCGCCUCCUUGCAGCGCCGCUUCCUCUUCUACCCCGAGCUGCCUCGCACAACUCUUUUGA